UCCGGUUGAUCCUGCCAGAGGUCACUGCUAUCAGUGUUCGACUAAGCCAUGCGAGUCAAAUGUUCUUCGGAACAUGGCGUACUGCUCAGUAACACGUGGACAACCUGCCCUAAGGUCUGGCAUAACUCCGGGAAACUGGGGAUAAUUCCAGAUAAACCAUAGAUACUGGAAUGUGCUGUGGUUAAAAGCUCCGGUGCCUUAGGAUGGAUCUGCGGCCUAUCAGGUAGUAGUGGGUGUAAUGUACCUACUAGCCUACGACGGGUACGGGUUGUGAGAGCAAGAGCCCGGAGAUGGAUUCUGAGACAUGAAUCCAGGCCCUACGGGGCGCAGCAGGCGCGAAAACUUUACAAUGCGGGAAACCGCGAUAAGGGGACACUGAGUGCCAGUACCAUGUACUGGCUGUCCGCAUGUAUAAAUCACAUUGUCAGCAAGGG
rnacentral:rRNA from 1 species